rnacentral:sRNA from 1 species
AACUGGUCGCGAGAUCAGUCGAUAGCCCAAAGGACCUUAGGUCGGACCUUUGGAUUAUCUCCUCAUCAGGCUAAUCACGGUUUUUGACCCGGCUUUUUGCCGGGUCUUUUUUUU